UACGUAGGGUGCAAGCAUUAAUCGGAAUUAUUGGGCGUAAAGGGCGCGUAGGCGGAUGGAUAAGUCAGAUGUGAAAUACCAAAGCUCAACUUUGGUGCUGCAUUUGAAACUGCCUGUCUAGAGGAUUGACGGAGAAAGGGGAAUUCCACGUGUAGCGGUGAAAUGCGUAGAUACGUGGAGGAACACCGGCGGCGAAAGCGCCUUUCUAGUUUAGACCUGACGCUGAGGCGCGAGAGCAAGGGGAGCAAACAGG
rnacentral:rRNA from 1 species